UACGUAGGGUGCAAGCGUUAAUCGGAAUUACUGGGCGUAAAGCGUGCGUAGACGGUUAUGUAAGUCGGGUGUGAAAGCCCCGGGCUCAACCUGGGAAUGCCAUUCGAGACUGCAUAGCUAGGGUGCGGAAGAGGGAAGCGGAAUUUCAGGUGUAGCGGUGAAAUGCGUAGAUAUCUGAAGGAACACCAGUGGCGAAAGCGGCUUCCUGGUCCAGCACCGACGUUCAGGCACGAAAGCGUGGGGAGCAAACAGG
rnacentral:rRNA from 1 species